GAUGAACGCUGGCGGCGUGCCUAAUACAUGCAAGUCGAGCGAACAGACGAGGAGCUUGCUCCUCUUACGUUAGCGGCGGACGGGUGAGUAACACGUGGAUAACCUACCUAUAAGACUGGGAUAACUUCGGGAAACCGGAGCUAAUACCGGAUAAUAUAUUGAACCGCAUGGUUCAAUAGUGAAAGACGGUUUUGCUGUCACUUAUAGAUGGAUCCGCGCCGCAUUAGCUAGUUGGUAAGGUAACGGCUUACCAAGGCGACGAUGCGUAGCCGACCUGAGAGGGUGAUCGGCCACACUGGAACUGAGACACGGUCCAGACUCCUACGGGAGGCAGCAGUAGGGAAUCUUGCGCAAUGGGCGAAAGCCUGACGGAGCAACGCCGCGUGAGUGAUGAAGGUCUUCGGAUCGUAAAACUCUGUUAUUAGGGAAGAACAAAUGUGUAAGUAACUAUGCACGUCUUGACGGUACCUAAACAGAAAGCCACGGCUAACUACGUG
rnacentral:rRNA from 1 species